rnacentral:tRNA from 4 species
AAUUCUUCAAAUUUUUUAUUGUUUAGUAAAGAAAUGUACUAAAUUAAUAUAAUAUUCAAAUUCCACGUUAAUUGAUUCUU